rnacentral:lncRNA from 1 species
AUGCGUACGUAUGCAUGUGUGUGUGCCUUCUGUACAUACGUGUGGGAAAUAUGCUUAUUUACAAUAACUAGUCGUUUUAACCCAUUGCUCUUCAUCUCUCUCUUUUCCUCUCUAGUUGAUGCAGUGAGAUGCCAAAAAGCAACUACACUUGAUACAAAAACUCCAACAAUAUAUACAACCACGUUACCCACCAUAAAUUACAAAACAUCGUCGAUCCCGCCCAAAACGACAUCAUCAACAACACCACCACCAUCAUCAUUAACAUCGUCAACAAUAUCAAACAGCAACAUGGAGUCACAAGAGCAGCAAUUACAAAGGAAGGUCAUAUCAGUCAGUACAUUGUUAGCUAUCUCUCUGAUAGCUAAUAUCCUCCUUUUGGGUGUUGUCAUCUUUCGGACCCGGGGGAGACGCCAGCAUGAGGGCGUGUCUCUUGCCAUGCCUGAACUGACCGUAUUGAACGCAGUAGAGGUAAAUCAUCUGAUGCAGGUAAUGUUCUCAGAAUGCUACGGAUCGAUGACUUAG